rnacentral:rRNA from 1 species
GGGUCAGUAGGCUGGUCGUGCCACCGGUACGUACUGGUCUCACUGAUUCCUCCUUCCUGACGAACCGUAAUGCCAUUAAUUUGGUGUUGCGGGGAAACAGGACUGUUACUUUUAAAAAAUUACAGUGUUUAAAGCAAGCUAACGCUUGAAUACAUUAGCAUGGAAUAAUGAAAUAGGACGAUCGAUCCUAUUUUGUUGGUUUCUAGGAUUGACGUA